GAGGGUAGAGCUCCGUGGUAGAGUGCAUGUUUAGAAUGCACGAAGUCGUGGGUUCAAUCCCCAGUCCCUUCA
rnacentral:tRNA from 1 species